UGUAUGUUGAAGGCCCAAAAUCAUAAUAUGAGGUCUUUGUUCUUUUUCACAAUGAUGCAAGCAGUUGAAAAUGAUGGUUGAGCCCAACAAAAUGAAAUCUGACCCUUAAUAUGGAGACAUAAGGUGAAUUGUAAAUGCUCUGCUAGGUCUUUAGGAUAUUUUUGUGAUUCCUUACCCUUUGUUCUUAAAACCUUGAGCCUUGGCCCCAUUACAACCAUUUAUAAGACCUUUUUUUAUCCUUAAGAUGGGACAGCCUUUGAUCUGUGGAGAUGAGUUAUAAGAGUUUAACCUAUGGCUUGGGUCCAUUUGUGCAAGUAGUUGAUAUUUUUCAUGAGAUCUUGAAAAAUUAUAUUCAGAAAGUGCUUUUCGUUUCUUAUAUAUGUGAGCUAUUUGAUUGCCUCAAAAUAUUUUCUCUCACAUAUAAUUGAGUGAUUAUAAGCUUUUAAGCAUGAGCCUUGAAUCUGAGAGAAGAAAGAGUGAUAUAUCCAAGUGAGGUUUGAAUCAUGACUUGUUUGAAAUAUGUUGAGCACCACCCAUCACCAUUGUUACCCCCAAGUCUUACAUGCUUAUAUGUGGAUUAUAUUUUGUAAUUAGUUCUUGAAUAUCUUGAUGAUGUGAUUCUUGGUUAAGUGCUAAUCUUGGUGACUUGAAAGUAUGAGAUUUCUGAGACAAUAUGUUAAAGGGCAAUAGAGGUCUUUGUGAUGUCAACAUCUUGGUCUUUGUUUUUGAAUUUAGUUUUUUUUUUUAGUCUUUUAUGUGUGACGUUUUUUUUUCUUUGUGUUUUUUGUUUUUUGUUUCUUUGAGUCUUUGUGUUUUUUCCAUACUUAAUCACUUUUUUUCGUUGGUUUCUUUGUUUUGUGUCUUAGUCUUUUUGGUUUGUUAGUUUUUGAUUUUGCUAAGAGACUAGCAAAAGCUAAGUGUGGGGGAAUUUGAUAGGAGCAGUUUAAUGUGAUAUUUUAAUAGUUAAUUCCUCACAUUUUGCUUAGUUAAUUCCUUAACUGAAUCGAUUUUUAAUUCAAUUUCUAUUUUUAGGUACAUUGGAGUAGAUGAAGGUGAAAUGAGCGUUAGGUCCAUAAUUACCUGGAAAUGAUGGAGAAAAAUGGAAAUGUACUAAAAGAUCAAUUUUACACAUAUUCCUACUCUGGCUAGGAGAAACCAAGCCAAGCAAAGAAGAAGGAGCGGCCGCCUGACCAAAUGAACUUCAAAUGAGAUGAAACCUUCCAGAUCCAUUCUAGACACCCAAAGGAACAUUUCAUAUGAAGAGUACAAGAUCCAGAUAGAAGUGGAAGGCCUUCAAACAAUCAGUCCAAUUUUCUGCAGAAGCAAAACUGGAAAACUAGACCUGUGAGGAGUCUAGCAGAAUUUCUGGCCCAACCACAUGGACUGAAGCUCUGAAAAUUUAUCAGGAUGAUCUAUACUCAUAGAGGAACAUUUGAUAUGAAGAAAUCGGAGGCCCAAUAUGAAGUUUUGAUGGAGAAAUAAUUGAAGGAAUAAAGGGGCAGAAACUGACCUGAAAACAGCUCAACACCACAUAUUCAUGUUUCCUACCCACAUGAAGAAAGCAUUUCUUUUUCCUUGGAUACAUUUUUCUACUCUAAAAGAUCAUCAUCACUUCCACAUUUCUUCACCUUCAUGCUUUGCUUUCAUCAUUACCUCAUCUUUUACAUAUUUUACAAACCACUCUCAUACUCCACUUUCAUUAUUUUUCUUCAUCUCAUCAUUUCACUCUUCUUUUUCUUCCCUAUUUAAACACCUUCUCCUCUCACUAUCAUUCACCAAUUCCUGAAUCCAUAACACACAUUCCUUCAUCCAUUUCAUCUUCUUUAUCUCUCCAUUUCCUCUCCAUAUUUCUUUUCCAUUCUCUAGUUUUCUUGUUCUUCAUUUUCAAGCCAAGAGAAAGAGAAGCCAUGCAAUACAUCAAUUUCCUAACCGCCAUCCACCCUUGUGUCGUCCCUAGAAGAUUGCUUGCUUUCAAGGAUCUUCAAGUUCUUCGUCUCAAGGCUUUAUCAUUCAUCUUUCAAGGUGUAUUAUAUCCUUUCUCUUGUUUUCUUUGUUUGAUUUUGUAAGACUAUGAAUUCUAGUUAACAAAUAAUGUUAAGGGCAAAGUUUAAAGCCCGUUUAUAUGUUUUGAAAUAAAGUUGUAAUUUCUUUGUGUUGAUUUCUAUGUUGCUUAUGUGAGAUUGCUUCAUUGAUUUUGGUUUAUAGAAAACUUUUAUAUGUAUGUGUUCUUUGGUGGCCAACUUGGGAUAUAUGCAUGUAAUUGGUGCUAGAUUUAGGUAAACAAUUCACCUAAUAGUUUUGUGAACCUAUUUCAUAAGUAGUAAAGGCUUUGGACAAAAGUCGAAAUCAAUUAAGGAGGAUUGCAAAUAGAUGAACUUUUUCAUACUAGGUUGUGCACUUUGGUUGACAUCCUUUCUUUGUUCUUCAUGCAUUGAAUGUGUUCUUGAUUAGCUAGCUUUCUAGACUAUGAUUGCAUGUUCAAUAGGAUUGAUUUAGGUGCUUUCACUUAGAUCAAUUAUUCAAGGAAAGUAAAAUAUGGGAAAUCGUUUGCUUAUUAACGUUUCACAUGGUCAACUUAUUUCUCAUGACAUUAGAUAAUCAACUAUAGGAAUUGUAAUUAGAUUUCAUUCAUAUAGAUGUGGUUUUGAUCUUUGUUCCUUGCGUUCCACCCUUGUAUAUAUGUUUUUACAUUUUCUUUAUUUUAUUUAUUUAUUUUUAUCUUAAAAACCCCCCUUAUUUCGUUACUUGUAUAUAUUUAUAUUCUUUAUUUUAUUUUUGUAAAUAAUACUUUAUUAUUUUAAUUCUUUAUUUGUUUAUACAAUUGUAUAUAUUUAUAUUCUUUAUUUUAUUUUUGUAAAUAAUACUUUUCUUUAUUUGUUUCACAAUUACAAGUGUACCAUCAAUCCCCGGAAAGAACGAUCCCCUAUUUACCAUAUACUAACGAUGACAUUUUACAGGAUUAAAUUGCGUGCAGCUUUAAAAGCGCGUCAAUCAGCUCGCCUCCUCCCCACGAACAGCCUGCUGCCCUCCUUUCCUCCCCUCACGGCGGCUACGCGGCGGUGGAGCUCGAAACCGAUUUAAGCCCGAUUUUGAGUCAACGCCGAUAUCUCGAGUUAUAGACGACCAAUCUUCGAGAUUCUUGGCCUGGUGAACUCAGAUUGAAAUUCUGAAAAAUUUCAUGAAGGGAUCGAAGCGAGUUGACGACGUUUUUACGUCUAACGGAGCUUCGCCAGUUUCUGGAAAAAAUCAGGCCAAACCGUGUGUUCAAGGUGAUCAAUGGAUUGAUUUGACGGACUAUGGUGAAUCUUUGAUGGUGCUGCUAAGAAGACGCAGCGGGAUUAGAGCGGGAAAUUCUGCAGGUCAGGAGAAUCAGGGCUGUGAUCGUGCGGAUGAGGGUAUUAAUUUGGUUUUACAAUUAUGGUAAAUUGUGUGGUAAGUUAUGCUCAAUUAGUGAGUUGUAUUAAUUAAAUUGAGGAGUUGGUUAUGUAAUAUUGAGUGGUGUGAGGUGUGUGUUUAUGAAAAAAAUUCAGGACGUUUAUUUGAUUAAGUUGUUUAAUUCAUGUUUCGGAUUUUAAUUUGUUAUUCAAAAUCCGGGGCGUGACACAAGCCCUAACAUUUUUUGUGCAACCUUGGUGUGUGCUACCUAGGUUGCUAGCUCUAAUUUUUUGGGAGGAUGAUUAGAGCUAUUUGAAAUGCAAACAUUUGAUAUGUUGUAAACAUUUGGGCUGCUUAUUUUGUUGGAUUUUAAGAAAGUUUGAUGUUGUUAAACUUUCGAAUGUAGAAUUGGUGCUUCAUGUUGGUUAAAAAUGUAGAUUGGUUAUUUUGAAGUACAUGUUACAGGUCAAAUGUUAUUAAUUUGAACAUGUUCUGCAAAUAGAUUAUUUUGGGCGGGAUGUACAUCUCUAACACAAGUAUUUAGGUCUUCUUUGGCAGGAAAGAUUAUUUUGGGCGGGAUGUACAUCUCCAAGACAAGUAUUUAGGUCAUCUUGGGUGGGAAAAAUUCAAUCUUAAUAGGAUUUGGGGCUGUGAUAGAUUCAGGGACAUUUUGGGAAUUUCACAUCCGUGUGGGCCCCACUUUUGAUGAGUUGGAAAUGCCACGUCAGCAUUUAACUUCUGAAAUUAACGGAAUUGAGUCGGAGGGACCUAUUGGACGAGAAAAUGAUAGUUCGGGGGUGUUUUUGAUGAAAUUGAAAGUCGAGGGACUGAAUUGAUGUG